GAUUUCAACUGAAAAAGUUAUCAACAACAAAGUUGAAUAACUCAUCAAGAUCUAAAACUUUUAUUUUGGUCAUUUCUUCAUCUGAUAAAGUGAUAGUAACAUUGUUCACAAAAUUGACAUAUCUCUUAUCUGGUUUUAUAAACUAUAACACAUAUAUGUAAAAUUUGUGAACAAUGUUACUAACAUUUUAUCAGAUGAAGAAAUAACCAAAAUAAAAGUUUUAGAUCUUGAUGAGUUAUUCAACUUUGUUGUUGAUAACUUUUUCAGUUGAAAUC
rnacentral:pre_miRNA from 1 species